GGCCACCUCCGGGGGGCUUUACAUAGCGGGAGCGCAGGCUCUCGCCCAGACAACGGAAGACAGUAA
rfam:Thalassobacter sp. 16PALIMAR09 PM04_011, whole genome shotgun sequence.